rnacentral:lncRNA from 1 species
AUUAUUAUGCCAAAUUAAAAAUUUUUAAUUAAAGUCAAGCUAAAUUUCAUAUAUCAAUAUAUCACUCCACCUGCUAGUCUAGUCUCUGUUAUAAAGGAUUGGUUUGAAAGUGCAUUAGUCUGUGCAGGCUGCUAUAACAAAAUACCAUAAAACAGGUAGCUUUUAAGCUGCAGUAAUUUAGUUUUGGCAGUUUUGGAGGCUGGAAAAUCCAAAAUAAAAACACCAACAGGCUGGGCGUGUGGCUCACACCUAUAUCCCAGCACUUUGGGAAGCUGAGGUGGGUGGAUCACUUGAGGUCAAGAGUUGAGACCAGCCUGGCCAACAUGGUGAAACCCCAUCUCUACAAAAAAUACAAAACAAAUUAGCUGGGCAUGGUGGUGGGCGCCUGUAAUGCCAGCUGCUCAGGAGACUGAAGCAGGAGAAUCGCUUGAACCUGGGAGGUAGAGGUUGCAGUGAGCCAAGAUCAUGCCACUGCACUCCAGCCUGGGCUACAGAGUGAGACUCCAUCUCAAAGAAAAAAAAAAAAAAACACCAACAGAUUCAGUGUCUGAUGAGGGCCCUUGUUCUGAUACAUAAAUUGUGCCUUCUUGAUGUACCCUCACAUGGCAGAAGGAGCAAACAAGCACCUCGGGCCUCUUUCAUGAGAUAAUUAAUCCCAUUGAUGAGGGUUCUGUCCUCAGGAUUUAAUUACCUCCCACUAAGGGCCCCCAUUUCUUAAUACAGUCAGCUUGGGGGUUAGAAUUUCAACGUAUGAAUUUAGGGGAGACACAAGCUUUCAGACCGUAACAGAGAGGUGUUUUUCUUGUUUUUUUUGGUUUUUUUUUUUGUUUUUUUUAAGGCAUAUUCUCAGUUUGGGUGUGGUGGCGUGUACCUGUGGCCCUGGCUACUCAGAAGGCUGAGGAAGGAGGAUCCCUUGAGCCUGAGAGUUUGAAGCACAAGAACCAUCAAUCAGCACAGAAGACUUCUGUGACCCCAAACUAUGUGGGGAUUUCUCCCUAGCAACAAGCAAGCAAUCAGUUUGGCAACAAACACUGACUGGAUGUCUUCCAAUUCAAUUCCAACACUAUCUACCUGGAAAUAGUGUCUGAUCCCACAGGAAACGGGGUUUCACCAUAUUAUCCAGGCUGGUCUUGAACUCCUGGGCUGAAGAAAUCCACACACCUCGUCCUCCCAAAGUGUUGGGAUUACAGGCGUGAACCACCACACCCCAGUUCAAUCCAUUCUACACAAACUGUAAGGAUAGUUUUUCUAAAACAGUACAUGGAUCAAUUAAAACUGAUCAGCUUUACACUAAAACUGAUCAGAGUUCUGAUCAGUUCAAGAACUUUGUCUGUGUAGUCAAGUCCCAAAUCAUCAUUCUGGCACUUAAGGAAGAAUGGCCACAGCCUCAUCUCCCUAUUAUUCCCUUUAUGAAAGCUUAUGGUAUCUUUGGUUUAGCACUGAUUCCACCCUUCCCUGCCUUUUAUAUAAUUGGUGUAUUUAUCUUUUGUCUAGAUUGUGAGAUCCUUGGAAACAGGUAUUAUGCAUAUAAACUCAAUAACUUUAUUUCUUUUUCUGCCAAGUGAACAAAGACCUCCAAAUUGUAGUCACAUGUAAUACAGAACACUGGUAUUGGUCAUAUCUCCAUCUCUGAUCCACCCUUCCUCCCAUGCAAGCUAUAGAUGCAUAUCAUCUAUUUUGAAUUGCCUAUUGAAAUGUCCCUUUGAAUAUCUAAUAGGCAUUUCAAGUUUAAUAUAUUCAGAAUAGUUUUUCCUCCAUUGUUUACUACCUGCCAGUUGCUUAAGGCCAAAAUCUAUGAAUCAUUCUUGAUUCUUCUCUCAUUUUCCAUAUUCAAUCCAUCAGAAGUUUUAAUGGCUUUAUCUCCAAAAUAUAUCUUAACAAUGGAGCAAAAUUUGAGUACCAUAGAACCAGAUUAGGGAUAACUGUAGGAAUGAAGGAGUGAUACACCUAGGAAUAGGAAAGUAGUCUGAAGCCAGAUGAUAAAGGUCCUUUUAUGCCAAACUAAGAAGUUCAGAUAUUAUUGUUAGAGGAGAGCUAUUGAGGUUUUUGAGUAGGGCACUUAUAUAUUCAUUUUGUACUUCAGGAAUGAAUCAGUAGAGGGGAUAAAUGAGGGUACCCUCAAAAUUGCAAGCAAUGAAGUAUUAGAACUGAAUUUUUAGGGACAGCAAUACCAGCCUAACUGGCUGCAUAAGAGAAGACUGGGUGUUUGGGAGAGGCAAAAAAUAAGGCCAACAGAAAAGGUAGGGUAGGGACAGAAUAUAAAGGGCUUGAAAGCCAGGUAAAAGCAUAUAAACUGGGAUGCCUGGGUUCUAAUAACUGUUUCCCUACUUGGAGAAACUCCCCUUAUCUUUUUUAAACCCCAGUUUCCUUUUCCUGGGAUUUGCUUCAGCUAUAAAUGUUGUAAUUUUCUAUAAUGCUCUGACCUGCUACAGUGGCUCUGAAACCUUGACUGCACACUGGAAUCACCUAGAGAGCUUUAAAAGCUACUGAUGGCUAGAUCUCACUACCAAAGAUUCAGAUUUAUCUGGUCUUAGGUGCAGCCUGGACACUGAGAUAUUUAAAAGUUCUCCAGGUGAUUCUAAUGUGCAGCCAAGGUUGAGAUCAACUCAUGUAGAAAAUAGUGAAGCACUAAGAUUCUUAAGCAUGGUAAUAAUAUGUUAAAAUUUAGUUUAGUUUUUUUGUUUUUUUUGUUUUUUCCAAGACGGAGUCUUGCUCUGUCGCCCAGGCUGGAGUACAAUGGCAUGAUUUCAACUCACUGCAACCUCCACCUCCUGGGUUCAAGCGAUUCUCCUGCCUCAGCCUCCCGAGUAGCUAGGAUUACAGGUGCGCACCACAACGUCUGGCCAAUUUUUUGUAUUUUUAGUAGAGACAGGGUUUCACCAUGUUGGCCAGGGUGGUCUAUAACUCCUGACCUUGUAAUCUGCCUGCCUCAGCCUCCCAAAGUGCUGGGAUUACAGGCAUGAGCCACCGCGCCUGGCUGAAAAAAGGUAUUUUAAGAAAGACUAACAGGAAUAUACAGACUAGUAGGGAAAGACUACAGAAGAUCAACUAGAAUUUUGCAAUAAUCCAGGAGAAAAGUUUAGUAAGGGCUGGAUUAGCAUACAUGCAAUGAUGUUGUAGGGAGGAAGAUGAAUGCAAGAAACAUUUGGAGAGAAGGAGCACCAGGAUUCAGUAAGUGAUUGAAUGUUAAAUCUGAGCAAAAGGAAAAAAAAUA